AUGCACAUCAAAGCUCUCUGAAAUAAUGAGACCAGCUCCAGCUGUUGGAUUCCUACAGCUUUUGAUUUGUGCUCUAGUAGAAGCUCCAGGUUUUGAUCCUCUGUUGAUAAUUUCCAUGGCAUUGAAGUUGAUUUGUGCAUUAUUUAAAAACAGACAGCUGACAGCAAACAAGGGUGAAUUUGCAAACCGCUUCUUAAAGGACAUUUUUGUUUCCGUUGUACAGAUUAUAGCUUCCCAUUCCCUUGCUCGGUCAUGGCUAUCCUAGUUGAAAAACUGACCUAUCCCCUUUUAUUGUUUCAAUUUUUUGACAGUUUAAAACAAAAACAAGGAAGCAUGCUGCACAAGACAGAUGUGUAUGCAAUGGGAAACAUCUGCUUAGUGAAUACUGCAUGCUCCAUUUUUAAGUGUCUGUUAUGAGAGAUGCCACUUUUCAGGAGGAUGCCAAUAUAAGCGAAAAUAAAGGAUCUUUCAAAACCAUCCAAAUACAUUGUCACACAUGAGUGGGCAGAACCUACAAUGAUCUGGCAUGAAGACUACAUGAGGAUUUCUAAUAGCAUAGGUUCUUGCAGGGCGGGAGUGAAACAACAUGUCCUUUUGAAAGCUCAGAGCAAAGUCACUUUAAAAGAGCUGCAGCAAGUAGUUCACUUGAUGUAGAAAGAAAAAAGAGCCAGGAUCUAUGCAGAAAUAUCCAACCUGAGGUAUACGUUCCAGCACAGAGUGACAGAAAACCUACAUAAUCCCCAGUUGUUUCCAGGAGACGAGAGGAUUUUUGGAGAAAGAAAAAACAACAAGAAAGUGGAAACACUGGCUGCCCUCAUUUUAAAAAUGAGAAAAAAAACUGUAAUUCCCAGGAAACAAUCAGCUAAUUCUCACUUUCGCUACAAAAGGGUUGGUGAUGAAAGGACACCUUUAAUUAAUAAGCACUGUUGCCACUGCUUUAGUAACAAGCUGCUGCAAAUGAAUCUGUAAUUGCUUCAAAAUAUAGUCUAUAAAAGUUCAUUUGACUCCUAAGUGCUAUUCUUUGUGGUGUUCUUGUAUCUGAUAAAAGAAGGUGAAUCACAUCACAUUGAUAUGUAAAGCUGUUUUCUGGAGUCACUGUACUCAAUAAGUCCUAACACAAAAUUUUGAAGUGCUGGGGAGAUAAUAAUUUUAGUAAUGCUGUAAUCAUAAACCUAUAACAUCGUAGGAAGCUUUUUAUUAACACUGAAUGCAUUAUUUGUACAAGUAAAUGUUUACAGAAACACUAAAAGGAGAAGAAGCCAUUUUAAAGGGAACAUCAAAACCUCAUGAUUUCGCCAAGCAAAAUUGUUUUUAUUUAAACAGAAGCUUUUUCUUUGGAGAGGCAAUCAUGUAAACCACCAUCCUUCCAAGUGUACUUUUUAUACCCAUUGUAAAUGCUUUUUAUGUAACUGGCUCUUUCUGUGAAAAGAGAACACAGAAAAAAAAACAUUUCAGAAUGCUUUCUUUGCAUUUCAGGAUUGAUGUAAAAUACUUAUUCGAGAUAUGACCGUGUAUAAUGCAGUAAUGCUUUUGCAUAUUGAAUGAGUUAUGCUUUGAACCUUUUGUACAGGUUGAACCUUUAUACAGAAUUCCAAAAUUCAAAAUUGUCUGCGUGGGUGGUUUCAAGAAUGAGACCACUGCUUUCUUACAAAUACUGUAAAUAAAAUUACCUUCAAGAUAUAUGUAUAAGGUGUAUAUAAGACAUAAAUGAAUUUUGUGUUUAGACUUGUGUCCCAUCUCUGAAAUACAGGUAUUCCAAAAUCUGAAGGAAACAAUCCCAAUAUCCAAAGCACUUCCAGAUCCAAACAUUUUAGAUAAGGUGUACUCAACCUGUACACCACUCGGAGUUCCUAGAAUAUGGGAUGUGAUCUAAAUAACUGUUCAUGAUUUGGUACGGUUGUCAUGACUGUAACUCCCUAGGGUUUUGUUUUGAAAAUAAUAGAGCAAAACAAAGUUCUAAUUUUCAGUGUAAUCUGAAGUUAUUUGUUCAUUUCCUUUGCUAAUUUCAUUGCUAAACAAAGUCACUCUUAUACAGAAAAAGCCAUUUAACCAAUCACAGAUGUUUCCUUCAAAAAAACAAACAAACAAAAGGCAGCAGGAGGAUAAGGGAAUGACAGAGGCCAAAAAGUUAAAUGUAAUAUCUGCAAGAAACAAUGUGUGAAAGUGACUGAGAGAAUGCUGAAGGAAAGCUAGUAAUCACUGUA